rnacentral:lncRNA from 1 species
UACACACACUGUGCCUUUCACACGCGGUCUGCGCUCCCCCAGCCCCCCCUCCCUUUUUUUCUUUUUUGCAGUGUCUUCACAUGCAACAUCUCUCUGAAUGUGCAAUGUCUUUCCUGCUCGGGAGUGCUGCGUCCUUCACAGUGGAUUGGUUCCUCUUUCGGAACAGAGGUAACGGCCCCCCCUUCCCUUUCCUACCAUUCCCCCUUCCUCCUCCUCCUUUCCUCCCCCAGGGCAGGCGGCCGGCGUGGGAAAUGGGCCCAACGUGCGCUGCAUGGUGGAUGGCAGCGCUGCUCCCGCUCCACGUGCCCUGGCUGCCGGAGGGGGACGGGGCUCUGCUGGCUGGGGCGUGUGUGUGUGUGUCCCGCAUCCCGCUCGUUCGUGCGGGGACAGAGGGAAUGACACUACCCUCCCCCCCCCACACACACACACACUGCCCCCGCGUUCUCGGCCCCGCGGCCAGUGCAUGCACAGCUGUCUGGUGUCGGUAGGAACAAUCCAGCUGUUUCAGGCAGGGGAGGUCUGUCCCUCUCGGUCAAAUCUGUUGCGCAGUGUAACUCCCCCCUUCAGCCCCCUCCCGCUCCCAGCUGCAGAGAGACACGCUCAGACACGACACCGCGUUUGUCCUCCUGAGCUGUUUAGGAAUGUCUGUGGCUCGCACUGGAAAAUUACUUCUGGGAUCCGCAGUGGGAAUCCAUCUCGGAUUAAAGAGAAACAGAUUAUUUGCACAUCUAUACCGCUUAUUACUUUAACACAUAUGUAUUACAUAUUAUUAUUAUGCGCACGCAAAUUAGGAAGAAGGUUCCAAAGGAAAAAAAUAAAUCAGAUGGGCUUGAGAGUGACAUAUUCAUAAUAAUACGAGGAAAAGGCUAAAUACAGUAAACAUGACAGCAAAUUCGAAAGCAGGGUAAAAACAAGGACAAAAACCCCACACAAAGCAGUUAAAGCCAUUUGACGGAAGGGAGAAACUAACUCAAGAACUCCACCAAGGGACAAACAGAUGAAAUGACACCACAAUAGAACUAAGCCCGCUUUGACCUUUCAUCUUUCUAAAGCAUCGUGCUGAUCUGGUGUGAUCCUGUUGUGCUCUCUUCACCUCCGUUCCCGACCACAACCUCCCUCCGGCUGCUCCAGACUUUCCCCGGUUCGCCGCAGUGAAUAUACUGGGAGGUCAGCUGAAUUAUAGGGAGUGCUGACACUUGCUCGGUGUCUUUCACAGCGCUGCAAAUAUGCUCCACAACUAGUACCACGUAACAGGCAGAAGUGAACAAA